rnacentral:lncRNA from 1 species
CAGCUUCUAACUGAUUCUCGCUUCAGAUCCAUGUACCAAUCCAAAGACGCUCCAGACAAACUGUCUUGGAAAAAGUACAUCCACAUCUUCUCAUCGUCUGUGUAUGCGGAGAUUUUCCUGAAGUAGGCCUGCACAUGGGUGCGAGGACAGGAAGUGCCGUUGUAUUUGUCAAAGGUCGGCGCCUUGAAUUUGUAGGGGAUCCUCAACCCAUCAACUA